rnacentral:snRNA from 1 species
UGGCUAAGUCCGUUCGGCGGAA